rnacentral:ncRNA from 1 species
GAGAGCACAGUACGAUGAAAGUUGUAAGCUGCGUUCGGGGGGGAGUUAUUGUCUAUCGUUGGCCUCUAUGGUAGAACCCGUCGGGGAGGCCUGAGAGGCGGUGGUUUACCCUGU